rnacentral:rRNA from 1 species
CCCAGACUCCUACGGGAGGCAGCAGUGGGGGAUAUUGCACAAUGGGGGGAACCCUGAUGCAGCGACGCCGCGUGAGGGAAGACGGUUUUCGGAUUGUAAACCUCUGUCUUUAGGGACGAAACAAAUGACGGUACCUAAAGAGGAAGCCACAGCUAACUACGUGCCAGCAGCCGCGGUAAUACGGAGGAUGCGAGCGUUAUCCGGAUUUAUUGGGUUUAAAGGGUGCGUAGGCGGAAUGCCAAGUCAGCGGUAAAAUCGCGGGGCUCAACCUCGCUCCGCCGUUGAAACUGGCGUUCUUGAGUGGGCGAGAAGUAUGCGGAAUGCGUGGUGUAGCGGUGAAAUGCAUAGAUAUCACGCAGAACUCCGAUUGCGAAGGCAGCAUACCGGCGCCCAACUGACGCUGAAGCACGAAAGCGUGGGUAUCGAACAGGAUUAGAUACCCGCGUACU